UUGGAGUUGUAUGCGCACGGGGCAGAGUCGCGAGCCUGGGAGCCGCCCGAGAGCCGCCCGGCGCCGGGGCUCCCGGUCUGGGAAGCAGCUCUGGGAAGGCUAGCGGGCUUCGCGGGGACUCAGCCGCAGAGGGAGUGGUGCUGGGGGAGCUCGGCCCCCGAGGGGGGCUAGUAGCGAGACUCGGGAUCUGCUCCCUGAACCCAGCGGCCAGGCCUAGAGAUCUGGUUCUGCGAGGUCAUUUGGAGACCACAGUGAACUACCUGUGAUGGAAGGGGAGCCGGCCUCCUGGGACCUUAGCUUUGCCGGUAUAAAGUUUUUCACUUGCAGCCUCCAUCCCCCUCGCGGACCCACGCCGCCAGCUUCCGCCGCUUAGGCGGGGCCGGGUUCGACCCGCGCUCCGGUGCAGCCGGCGGUCAGGCGCCGCGCAGCUCAGGCGCUCACUCACCGCGCGUCCCGGCUUCCCAGGUGGGGCCCGGACGCGGGCACCUUCCCUGCACCGCGCUUUGGUGGUCCCCAGGGAUGGGCUCUGGGCAUCCACCGGCCGAGGGUUGGUGGCUAGCGCCCGAGGUCCGGUUCCUCAAACUUUCCUUCUGCCUGGAGAGGAGGGAUUGGAAGGCGGAGGCCGUGCCAGGAGCGUGCGCAGCCGGUGCCAGGCUUAACUUGAGCUGUCGCUGCCCCCUCCCCCCAACCACCACCUCACUACGACCCUCGGGCCGCCGGGCUCCUAGCAGAGCGCUGCAAAGUUGGCGCGGGCUCUGGGGAAGUCCCGCCGCGCCCCCACGUGGCUGCCGCGCGGGGAGCGGUCCCCAGGGCCCAGGGAGGGCAGGUGACCACGCCGUGAGCCCGCGGGCUCCGCCACCCGCCGCUCGGGCCUCUGCGUCUACCUCUCUCACCUCCCAGAUCCGGGCGGGCUGCGGCGCCCCGCCGGGACCCCCUCGUCCCUGGCCCGGGCAGAGCAACCGGUGAGCCACCCGCGCCUGCGGCUGGCUGCCCUGGCCCUGCGGGAGCCGGCUGCGGUGGGACCUCAGGUAGCGGAGGGGCCUGAUCCCUGAGCUCCGCGCUCCAGCCUUAAUCCGCCCCUGUUUCCAUGGCAACAGACCGAGGUGUCGUAAGCACGGAAUUCUGACCUCACAGUAGGAUGGGAAAGGAGAAAAUGGGCAAGGGGAGGUGACGCGAGGAGGGGGAAGCGAAGCCCAGGGAUGGGCGGAGAGGAGCAGAUGUGGGGGUGAUGGAAGAGACCCCAUAAGCUGGUGGGACAGGUAUGUGCCCAGAGACAAAGAUAUGCCUGGGGCUGGUGGCAAGAGAGGUGGCCAUUGAAGUUUCUGCUUCUCAAGUGUUCCCAAAAGCUCCUGGCAAAAAUGUCAUAGGAUGAAAAAAAAAAAGGUCAUAGGAUGGAUUCAGAUCCCGGGAGGAGAGAGGACCGUGAGCCCUACAUAUCCUGUGGAGAAACCCCAGAGAAGGAAGAAGGUACAGAAGUGGAGUUCCAGUCUCCCCAGCCCAAGUCUGUCCCAUUCAAGGAAAGCAGCAAGCAGCCCAAUGAAACCAGUCACACUAAGAGAGUUUCCUUAACUGGGAGCUUCUGGACUGCUUUUCCCCUCAAAGUUCCUGGUCCUUACACCAGCAAAGAGAAGCCAGGAUGAGGAAUUUUGAGGAAGCACCAGGUCACCUCAACAGAGAGAAGAGGCAGAGUGGCUAAAUAAAGUCGUUGAAUGCAUUUCUCACCAGUAGCCAGAAUAAAACCAAGGAAAGAAAUGCAGCGCUCCCCAUUUGUGAGCUAAGAUGAUGUAGAAAAUGUGUUUUGGUUCUGCCCCUGUAAUGCCAGCACGAGGCCAACUCCUCACCACAGUUUCCAGGUCUAGUUGCUGCAGAGGAACUGUUCAGGACCCAAACUCCCAGCGUGGACGCACUGACUCCUCUACUGCAGGAACGAAACUGAGUUUCUGGUCUCGGACUCAGGCUGCUAAGCUCGACCCCCACCGCCCCGGAGGGUACGGUGGCUCUGUUUUAGGAGACCAGGUGGAUAACCAGAGCAGACAGUGGACUUGACACGGGGAGAGGUUCUUAGCCAAGUCUGAAGCGAGGAAGUCUCAUUAGGAAAUGGAAAAGACAGGGGAGGCUGGUAGGAAUGUUUGCCCCCUGACCUGUGACAGAGUUGACAGCAGAUGGGAUCUAGGAGGGAGGCUUGUGGGGGGUGGUGGUGAGUCCAACUCCAAGCUUUGAAGUCAGGGCCUGAGAAAGGACAGAGCAGAAGUUCACUCUCUGGAGAUGAGAAGGAGGGGGCAGGCCUGCUGAAGGAUGUCAAGAACGGAUCUGUUUGGUACCAUCUGCAGCGAAGUAGUGGUUAAGGUUAAAGCAGAGAGGAGAUGACAGGGAGGGAACAGAUGGCCGAGGAAGCAAAAUAGCUGGCAAACAGGAACAGAGCCUCCAGGGACAGCAGAAGGCAGGACCUCCAUGCAGAAUGCCGGAAGCGGCCCUUUCCUCGGGGUGCACUGGCCAGGCCACCUGGGUGGAAGUGAGUCUGACAGAGGAGUGAUGCAGGCACCCCAGGGUGAGGGCUUCCUUGAGGCUUGGGAGAAGACCUCACAAGUGCUUAGUCGCUCAGUCAUGUCCAACUCUGUGGCUCCAUGGGCUGUAGCCCACCAGGCUCCUCUGUCCAUGGGAUUCUCUGGGCAAGAACACUAGAGCAGGU